rnacentral:lncRNA from 1 species
UUUUUUUUUUUUUUUUUUUGGCCUUCCCACAGUAUAUUGAGUUCCCAGCCAGGGAUCAUGUUUGAGCUCCAGUUAUGACCUAAGCAGCUGCUGCAGCAAUGCCAGAUCCUUAACUCACUGUGCCAGGCCAGUGAUAGAACCCUUGUCUCAGUGCUCCAAAACACCACCAAUCCCAUUGCACACAGCAGGAACUCCCAGAUUCUUUUGCCAUAUAGAUUAUGGCAGAAUAUUGGGUAGAGUUCCCUGCAGGUCCCCCUCCUGGACACUAGGCACUCCAGUUACUAGUCACUGUGACAACUAAAAACUUAAUCCAUGAUUUCCACAUAAGGGAAAAGAGCUUCCCCAUAGCCCUCACAAGAAGUACCAAUUUCUUCUCUCAUGUGCCUCUUACCACUGGGCCUGGCGGUGGGCUAAAAACCCCCCUACUGCUUUUCACUACUUCUAGAUCCUUUUCUCUUGCUCCUUCCCCCAAACUCCAGCUUUGAUUUCAUUUCUUCCCACCAUAAUAUGUACUGAUUUCCUUUAUCACAGGGGUAUCCCUUGAAGACUCCUCGUAAUUCCUUGAAGAUCUUAGCCCUCACUCAUCAUCAUUCAAGCCAACACUACUCUAUCCUAAUUCUUGGUGAGUGUAGUAUUUACCAUGGCUCCUCAGUUCCCUGACUUUCUCUCUUCUCUUUUCCGGUGACCUCAUCUGUCCUUCAAAAGAGAACCUUCAGAGCUUCCCACUAUAACAUCCACCUACUUCUUUGUUUCUGUGCCACAUACAGCUUUCCUUUUUACUACAAAGGAACUGCCCCUGCGCCUAUCUGGACCAACACAUUCUCUAGCAUCCUAACCCCAUAUUCUCUUGCCUACUCAAGGACAUGGCUCGAGCAAAUCACUUCUCUCACCUGCAUCACCAAUUUUUCCCUUUCCACUGGGUUAUUCCUUUCAACAUUCAAGUACACUGCAAUUCCACCCAUCUUGAAAUGUUAAUAUACUCACCUUGUUUUUACCCUACUUUACUGGCCACUUUGCCAUAGCCUUCCUUGCUGGUUCUGCCUUAUCCUCCUGACUUCUAACAAUCGGAGGGCCCCAGGGCUCAGUUCAUGGUCUUUUUCACUUCCUAUGCUAGUGAUUCCAUCUAGUUUAAUGGCUUUAAAUGCCACACACAUGAACAACUCCAGAAGUUAUUUCUCCAGCCCUCUCCUCUGAAUUCUAGACUCAUAUAUCUAAAACCCUACUUGAUAUAUCUACCUGGAAACCUGAUAAAUGCUUUUUAGUUUUUUAGGUUUUUUUUGACCACACCCAGGGCAUGUGGAAGUUCCCCGGCCAGAGAUGAACUCAAACUGCAGUUGUGACCUGCCCCACAGCUGCAGUAAGCCCGAUUCUUAACCAGCUGACAAGGUAACUUUCCCUGAUAAAUGCUUUUAACUGCAAAUGUUCAAAGUCAAACUUCUUAUCUUUUCUGAUACAAAAACAUUCCUUCAGUUGGGAAACGGCACACCCAUUCUUCAGUUGCUCAGACCAUACUCCUGGUAUUGUUUGAUUUCUCUCUCAUGCUCUACAUAUACUUUAUUAGCAAAAUUUUUUGGCUUACCAUUAAAAUCAUACCCCAAAUUCAAUCAGCACUUAUAUAGCUCCAUUACCAACAUUCCAGUCCAAACCAUCGCUUUUUAAAAAUUGUAGUAACAGCUUUCUAAUUCAAUUUCUUAUAUUCAUUUUUACCCUCCUAGAGUCUAAUUUCAACACAGAAAUCACAGUGAUCUCUAGAGACUUCAGAUCAUGUUAGUAUGUUGCUCAAAAUCCUGCAUUCAUUUGGAGUAAAUGUGAAAGUCCUUACAAUGGCCCACAAGACCACAUGGAAUCUAAUCCCCCUGGCACUAUUCUACAUGUCCCCUCUUUUAUGUCUUAGAAUAAAUAACUGGAGAGUAGGAUAGAUUCAACAUACAUUUGGAGGUUAGAACUAUUAAAACCUGCCAAUGGAUUGGAUGUGUUAAGACCAGGGAAAGAGGAGUUCCCAUCGUGGCGCAGUGAUUAAUGAAUCCGACUAGGAGCCAUGAGGUUGUGGGUUCGAUCCUUGCCCUUGCUCAGUGGGUUAAGGAUCUGGCAUUGCCAUGAGCAGUGGUGUAGGUUGCAGCUCAGAUCCCACAUUGCCGUGGCUGUGGGUAGGCCUGCGGCUACAGCUCCAAUUACAGCCCUAGCCUUGGAACCUCCAUAUACCAUGGAAGCAGCCCUAGAAAAGGCAAAAAGACCAAAAAAAAAAAAAGACAAGGGAAAGAGGAACAAUUACACAUGGUAAAUGACUCCUUAGUUUUCAGUCUGAGCAUUUGGGUACAUAGUUUUCUGUUAACUUCCAUAAGAAAGAUAAGGGAAGAGUAGAAUGGGCUUGAUUUGUAUAUGGAUGGGGUUAUAUGAAUAGGUAAGAAACCUUUCAUGUACAUUUUAGGUUUUAGGUCCUACUACACAUGUAAGUGAAGAUUAUGCAUAUGUAACUGGUUAUACAAAUCUGGUAAGAGAAAACUAAGUGUGAUUUCAUUGAGCAAUAGAAACUAAAAUGCUGUUUUGAAAAGGAUGCAGUGGUAAACUAUAUUUGAUGUGCUAAGAGUGAAUAAAAUCAGGUCAGAGGUUGACAAUGAAUUAGACAAAUGUAGGUCAUUGAUGACCUUGGGAAGAUUGAGUCAGUGGAGUUGUAGGAUGAAUGAAGGAAAGAAUAAGGGGAGUUAAAUGGAGGAGAGUUUAUAUAACCAAUUUGACAGCAGGAAGGUAAGUUGGUUCUUUUCCGAUUAUAAUCAUUUUUUUUAAUUACUCAAUGAAUUUUAUUAUAUUUAUAGUUGUACAACAAUUAACACAACUCAAUUUUAUAGCAUUUCCAUCCCAAACCCCCUACUCAUCCCCCCAUGCCCCAAUCUGUCUCAUUUGGAAACCAUAAGUUUUUCAAAGUCUGUGCGUCAGUAUCGGUUCUGCAAAGAAGUUUAUUGUAUCCUUUUUUGAGAUUCCACAUGUGAUAGCACAUGAUGUUGGUAUCUCACUGUCUAACUUCACUUAGCAUGAUAAUCUCUAGGUGUAUCCAUGUUGCUACAAAUGCCAUUAUUUCCUACCUUUUAAUGGCUGAGUAACAUUCCAUUGUGUAUAUGUACCACAUCUUCUUGAUCCACUCCUCCGUCCAUGGACAUUUAGGUUGUUUCCAUGUCUUGGCUAUUGUAUAUAGUGCUGCAAUGAACACUGGAGUACAUGUAUCUUUUUGAGUCAUGGUUUUCUGUGGAUAGAUGCCCAGGAAUUGGAUUGCUGGAUCAAAUGGUAAUUCUAUUUUUAGUUUUCUGAAGAAUAUCCAUACUGCUUUCCACAGUGGUUGCAUCAAUUUACAUUCCCACCAAGUGUGUAAGAGGGUUCCCUUUUCUCCAUACCCUCUCCAGCAUUUAUUGUUUGUAGACUUCUGGGUUUUUUGUUUGUUUGUUUGUUUUGUUUUGUUGUUUUGUCUUUUAAGGCUACAUCCGUGGCUUAUGGAGGUUCCCAGGCUGGGGUCUAAUUGGAGCUGUAGCCACUGGCCUAUGCCACAGCCACAGCAACAUGGGAUCGAGCUGUAUCUGCAACCUACACCACAAUUCACAGCAACGCCAGAUUCUUAACCCAAUGAGUAAGGCCAGGGAUAGAACCAACAUCCUCACGCAUACUAGUCGAGUUCACUAACCACUGAGCCACCACAGGAACUCCCUGUCUGUAGACUUCUUGAUGAUGGCCAUUCUGGCCAGUGUAAUGUGGUACCUCAUAGCAGUUUUGACUUACAUUUCUCUAAUAAUUAGGGAUGUUGAGCAUCUUUUCAUGUGCUUUUUGGCCAUCUGUAUGUCUUCUUCAGAGAAUUAAUUGUCUAUUUAGAUUUUCUGCCCAUUUUUUGCCCAUUUUUUCUGCUCAUUUUUUGAGAGGUUUUUGGUUUUUUUUUUUUUUUUUUUGGUAUUGAGCUAGAGGAAGUGUUUGGCCUGUUUUCCUCUAAGUUUUAUAGUAUCUGGUCUUAUAUUUAGGUCUUUAAUCCAUUUUGAGUUUAUUUCUGUGUAUAGAGUUAGGAAGCAUUCUAAUUUCAUUCUUUUACAUGUGGCUGUCCAGUGAUUAUCACUUUUGAAACAUCUUUAUUGUGAUAUAAUUAGCAAACCAUAAAUUUUAAAUUGAAUUAUUCAUCUUUUAAUUUUUGAGUUGUAAAACUUCUUUAUAUAUUCUGUACACAAGUUCCUUAUAAUUUGCAAAUAUUUUCUCCCAUACUUUUAUCUGUCUUUUCAUUUUUUUUUUUUUUUUAAGGGCCACACCCUCAGCAUAUGGAAGUUCCCAGGCUAGGGGUCGAAUCAGAGCAACAGCUGCUGACCUACGCCAUAGCCAUAGCAAUGCAGGAUCCUGACCAUGUCUGCAACCUACGCCACAGCUCAAGGCAUUGUCAGAUCCUUAACCCACUGAGCGAGGCC